rnacentral:rRNA from 1 species
AUUGAACGCUGGCGGAAUGCUUUACACAUGCAAGUCGAACGGCAGCACGGACUUCGGUCUGGUGGCGAGUGGCGAACGGGUGAGUAAUGUAUCGGAACGUGCCCAGUCGUGGGGGAUAACGUAGUGAAAAUUACGCUAGUACCGCAUACGAUCUAUGGAUGAAAGCGGGGGAUCGCAAGACCUCGCGCGAUUGGAGCGGCCGAUAUCAGAUUAGGUAGUUGGUGGGGUAAAGGCCCACCAAGCCAACGAUCUGUAGCUGGUCUGAGAGGACGACCAGCCACACUGGAACUGAGACACGGUCCAGACUCCUACGGGAGGCAGCAGUGGGGGAUUUUGGACAAUGGGCGAAAGCCUGAUCCAGCAAUGCCGCGUGUGUGAAGAAGGCCUUCGGGUUGUAAAGCACUUUUGUCCGGAAAGAAAUGGCUCUGGUUAAUACCUGGGGUCGAUGACGGUACCGGAAGAAUAAGGACCGGCUAACUACGUGCCAGCCGCCGCAGUAA